rnacentral:rRNA from 1 species
GCCGCAGUAUUNUGACUGUGCGAAGGUAGCAUAAUAAUUAGCUUUUUAAUUGAAAGCUUGUAUGAACGGUUGGACAAAGAAGUAACUGUCUUUGGCGCACUGUUUGAACUUUACAUUUAAGUGAAAAGGCUUAAAUUAAUUUAAGGGACGACAAGACCCUAUAAAUCUUUACAUUUUGUUACAUUGGGGAGAUGAAGAUAUAAUAAUUAAACUGUCUUUAAACAAUACAAACAAAUAUUAUUGAUUUACGGAGGAUCCUUUUUAGAGAUUAAAAGUUUAAGUUACUUUAGGGAUAACAGCGUAAUUUUUUUUGAGAGUUCAUAUCGAAAAAAAAGUUUGCGACCUCGA